rnacentral:rRNA from 1 species
CAGUAGCCGCGGGAAUACGUAGGGUGCGAGCGUUGUCCGGAAUUAUUGGGCGUAAAGAGCUUGUAGGUGGUUUGUCGCGUCUGCUGUGAAAAUCCGAGGCUCAACCUCGGGCUUGCAGUGGGUACGGGCAGACUAGAGUGUGGUAGGGGAGACUGGAAUUCCUGGUGUAGCGGUGGAAUGCGCAGAUAUCAGGAGGAACACCGAUGGCGAAGGCAGGUCUCUGGGCCAUUACUGACACUGAGAAGCGAAAGCAUGGGGAGCGAACAGGAUUAGAUACCCCGGUAGUCCCUGUCUCUUAUAC